rnacentral:misc_RNA from 1 species
AAGUCGUAACAAGGUUUCCGUAGGUGAACCUGCGGAAGGAUCAUGUAAACGUUUUUCAAAACUUAAACAAGGGAGAAGCGGGCCGGGUCACGGGGGGAAACUUCUGUGGCCUUGUCUGUCUUCUUUCUUUUUAAACCCAUCGCGAACUGGAUUUCGUAGCACAUGUGGGAGACUGCACAUUCGUACACGACGGCGCGGCAUUUCGGUGCGCGUGGUCGGGCGCGACUGCCAGUCCCCCCUUUGCGACCUUUUCUCAUUUUUUUCACCCCUUUUUGAAAACAUUCAAAACUUUUAAAACGAAUCUGUUUUUUUGUUUUUCUCGCUUGCGCGAAAAAAGCAAGACAGUGAUCGCUUCUUUUAAUGCAAAAGAGAACAACUCUUAGCAACGGAUAUCUUGGUUCCC